GACGAACGCUGGCGGCGUGCUUAACACAUGCAAGUCGAACGGAAAGGCCCUGCUUUUGUGGGGUGCUCGAGUGGCGAACGGGUGAGUAACACGUGAGUAACCUGCCCUUGACUUUGGGAUAACUUCAGGAAACUGGGGCUAAUACCGGAUAGGAGCUCCUGCUGCAUGGUGGGGGUUGGAAAGUUUCGGCGGUUGGGGAUGGACUCGCGGCUUAUCAGCUUGUUGGUGGGGUAGUGGCUUACCAAGGCUUUGACGGGUAGCCGGCCUGGGAGGGUGACCGGCCACAUUGGGACUGAGAUACGGCCCAGACUCCUACGGGAGGCAACAGUGGGGAAUAUUGCACAAUGGGCGGAAGCCUGAUGCAGCAACGCCGCGUGCGGGAUGACGGCCUUCGGGUUGUAAACCGCUUUCGCCUGUGACGAAGCGUGAGUGACGGUAAUGGGUAAAGAAGCACCGGCUAACUACGU
rnacentral:rRNA from 1 species